GGAAACACGGAAAAUGACUAACCAUGAAUCCUGCCAUUCUCAACGAUAUUUAAUCAGUUCACAACGGAUCUUGUUUUGAUCAUGUGAAAGGCUGGACCAGUCAAGUCGACCUUGUGGACAAUUUCCUUUAUAUCUCCUAUGAAGAGAUGUGGCUGGACCUGUGAGGGUCCAUAGAGAAGGUGAGCGCUUUCCUGCAGCAGCCCCUAGUGGACGAGGAGCUCAAACGCUGCCUCUGUCACUGCAGCUUCAGCAGCAUGAAGGAGAACCGUAUGGUGAACUAUACCCUGGUCCCUCAGGACAUCAUGGACCACAGCAAGGGAACCUUCAUGAGGAAAGGUCAAAUUGGAGACUGGAGAAACACCUUCUCAGAAGAGCAGAAAUGUCACUUCGACACGGUUUUCAGCACCAAGAUGAAGGACUGUCUUCUGAACUUUGUGUGGGAAGGGCCUGUGAGGGAAGGUGUUUCCUUAUGAGAGGAGACGUUCUGAGGAUGAAAAGCCCCCGGAGACAGCAAUGCCAGCUGUCCUCCACUCAGCCUAGUACCUUGUCUCAUCCAGAUCACAUGGACAUUACGAGGGGAGCCUAAUGUAAUACAACUGAUGGGUUACUGCCCUUCGUCUCUUCUUUACUACAGCUGCGGCAUUUCUCAGAUACACUUUCACUGAUUCCCUUAGUUUCCCUUAGUUUUUUCAAAUUAAUGUGGUUUUUCAAAGGAUGAUUUGUUAUUUGUAAUACCCAGACCCAAAGCAACUACUUUCUUAUUUCUGAAAAUCACAACCUUUCAAACCAUUAAAAAACGUUUUUAUUAAUGUAAACUUAAUGAGUGUCUUGAAAGUAUAUUUGCACA